UACGUAGGUAGCGAGCGUUGUUCGGAAUUACUGGGCGUAAAGAGUGUGUAGGCGGUGCUCUAAGUUCGGUGUGAAAUCUCCUGGCUUAACUGGGAGGGUGCGCCGGAAACUGGAGUGCUUGAGCGUGGGAGAGGAAAGCGGAAUUCCUGGUGUAGCGGUGAAAUGCGUAGAUAUCAGGAGGAACACCUGUGGUGUAGACGGCUUUCUGGACCAUAGCUGACGCUGAGACACGAAAGCGUGGGUAGCAAACAGG
rnacentral:rRNA from 1 species